rnacentral:rRNA from 1 species
AUUGAACGCUGGCGGAAUGCUUUACACAUGCAAGUCGAACGGCAGCACGGGGCAACCUGGUGGCGAGUGGCGAACGGGUGAGUAAUACAUCGGAACGUGCCCAAUCGUGGGGGAUAACGUAGCGAAAGUUACGCUAAUACCGCAUACGAUCUACGGAUGAAAGCGGGGGAUCGCAAGACCUCGCGCGAAUGGAGCGGCCGAUGUCAGAUUAGGUAGUUGGUGGGGUAAAGGCUCACCAAGCCAACGAUCUGUAGCUGGUCUGAGAGGACGACCAGCCACACUGGAACUGAGACACGGUCCAGACUCCUACGGGAGGCAGCAGUGGGGAAUUUUGGACAAUGGGCGCAAGCCUGAUCCAGCCAUUCCGCGUGCAGGAUGAAGGCCUCGGUUGUAACGUAGCUUUUGUUACGGUAACGGAAACGGACGGAA